rnacentral:rRNA from 1 species
GUGCCAGCAGCCGCGGUAAUACGUAGGUGGCAAGCGUUAUCCGGAAUUAUUGGGCGUAAAGCGCGCGCAGGUGGUUCCUUAAGUCUGAUGUGAAAGCCCCCGGCUCAACCGGGGAGGGUCAUUGGAAACUGGGGAACUUGAGUGUAGAAGAGGAAAGUGGAAUUCCACGUGUAGCGGUGAAAUGCGUAGAGAUGUGGAGGAACACCAGUGGCGAAGGCGACUUUCUGGUCUAUAACUGACACUGAGGCGCGAAAGCGUGGGGAGCAAACAGGAUUAGAAACCCCCGUAGUCC